UAUUAUACGCCCGUCUAUGACGGGACGUAUUAUGGUAUACCCCGCGUCCGUCUGUCCGUCCGUCUGUCCGUCCGUCCGUCCGUCCGUCUGUUAAUGUCGUACGCUACGUCAAAUAUCCUUUGACAGAUUUUCUUCAAAUUUUAACACAAUCUUAAUAUUGAUAAACCCUGAUCCCCUUUCGUUUUUGACGGAAUUCUGAAUUGUCGUUCCAGAGUUAUGGGACUUUGUUCGUCAAAAUUUCGUGAUUUCAUUGAAUGUCCUACUGUAGCUAUAUAAAAAUGUUAAAGUUGUUAUAACUUUGGUAUGCUUGGACCUAGAGUCUUGAAACUUGACAUGAAGGUUGGCCAGAACUAGUAAGUAACCACUGGACAUUUCAACGUCAUUCAUUUGAAGGUCAAGGUCACUGUGACCUUGAAUGUAAAAAUGUUAAAGUUCUUAUUUCAUGUUAUAACUUUGGUAUGCUUGUACCUAGAGUCUUCAAACUUGAAAUAAAGAUUGGCCAGUACAAGAAGAUGACCACUGGUCAUUUCAAUGUCAUUCAUUUGAAGGUCAAGGUCACUGUGACCUUAAAUGUUAAAAUGUUAAAAUUGUUAUAACUUUGGUAUGCUUGGACAUAGAGUCUUCAAACUUGACAUGAAGGUUUGCAAGCACACUUAGAUGACCACUGGUCAUUUCAAGGUCAUUCAUUCUAAGGUCAAGGUCACUGUGACCUUAAAUGUUAUUGUUGUUCAUGUAUCCUACCGUAGCUCAAAUAUCCCCCGAUGGAUUUUUUAUACGCCCGUCUAUGACGGGACGUAUUAUGGUAUACCCCGCGUCCGUCUGUCCGUCCGUCCGUCCGUCCGUCCGUCCGUCCGUCCGUCUGUUAAUGUCGUACGCUACGUCAAAUAUCCUUUGACAGAUUUUCUUCAAAUUUUAAUACAAUCUUAAUAUUGAUAAACCCUGAUCCCCUUUCGUUUUUGACGGAAUUCUGAAUUGUCGUUCCAGAGUUAUGGGACUUUGUUCGUCAAAAUUUCGUGAUUUCAUUGAAUGUCCUACUGUAGCUCAAAUAUCCUUCGAUGGAUUUUUUUCAAAUUUCAACACAAUCUUAAUAUUGAUAAACCCUGAUCCCCUUUCGUUUUUGACGGAAUUCUGAAUUGUCGUUCCAGAGUUAUGGGACUUUGUUCGUCAAAAUUUCGUGAUUUCCAUGCUCAUGUACUUAUAAAAUAAACCAUGUAUUCAAAUACAAAUAAACUGAAGUAAAAAAAUGA